ACCACAUCUAAGCAAGAGAAAACGGCAAAUAACCUUUACUUUACACCCUGUAAAAUAUUUGUAGUGUUCAUAUAAAUAAGGACUAAAUAAGGGAUGCUUACCUUUUACUUUGGUAGGCUGGAUCAUUAUUUGUGAGCCACUAGUAGCCACAUCAAAGGUGUCAUCCUGGAAAACAGGGUUAUUCAUUUGUGUUACAAUCCACAAUCACAUAGUUGCAUUUUUUGUUUGAUAAGUGAUGAUAUUUGUAAGUACAACUGUCAAGCUGACCUGAGCAAAGUGUACCUCCAUUAACUCCUCAGUUGUGUAAUCGGUGACUUUCUCACCAAGUGUCGUCGGCUCUGAAGAGGGGUGCCCACUCUCCCCUGCAGCAGCAACCUUCUGGUACUUGUGCUUAUGCCAGUCCAGGGACACAGGUCGGCAGCCAGGCUCCACGUAUUGCAGUCCGAGCCUUUCUCCUCUGUCUGUGUGCAUGACAAUUAGAGUAGGAUACUUGGCCUGGCCUGUCACUUGCUCUGACACUUUGUUUAGCUCCAUGAUUAAGACCGGAUCAAAAACUGCAGGGAGCUUCACACCAGGCUGUUUCAGAUCCACAAGGCGCUGAAAAUUCCAGCGAGCAACCCCAAUCAUGCCUUGUGCCUGGAAAAGUUCUGUGGAGACCUGUGUCCCUGUGACCCAUUUUGCCUGAUGGAAAUGGAACCCCUCCUGCUGAGAAGUCCCUCUCACAGGGAUCCACACUGAAACGUAACGCCGGGACAGCCCCUCAUACAUUGGCUCCAGAGAUUUGUCACAUUCAGACUGCAGCAUCACCCAGGACAAGAUCAUCCAGUUCUCAUUCAUAAUGGUGUAGGAUGACAUGGUGCCUGAUACGAGCACCACCUUCCGGGCCACCUUACGGGUAUGGUCAGCCCUUAAGGCCUGUCCAAAAGUGCCUUGAAGGAGCAGAUUGAGUGUGCUCUCCUGCCGGUGGUACUCCUGAAUGAGACAAUCAACUAGGUAGUGGGCUGAGACUCUUACUCCACACCAGCCGUCCAGGUCAGCAUAUCUACCAAAUCGAGCAGGAGUAUUUGUUGCUCUCAGUGCCCCUGUGAUUGUACGCUGACCAUAAAGUCCACUGUCUCCAUCCAGCACAUUCUUAACAGUGGUCAGGUAAGACAGGUGUGCACGCUCGUACCGGAGGUUUAGACCUUCAUUUAACUGGUUGGCCAUGUCAUUGGGAGACUUUCCUGUGCGCCGCAAUUCAUCCAUCACAGUCUUGCAUAUGGCCUUUCUGUAUGUCAGAAAAGCUGGCAAAAUGUUGUGGAACCGUGCAGGCAGCAAGUCCAUCCACUGAGGUUUGUCCGCAAACCAGUACUUUUUGCAGACUUUACAGUUGAGCCUAGAAGCUAGUAUGUAGUACUGGCCACUUGUACCAAUAAUGACACGUGGUCGUCCAAUUCCAGAUGAGACGACAUGGGGAUUGGGACAGCCGUACAGACAUGGAAGAGAGUAAUUGUUCCGGACUCUGUCCAUAAUGGGGUGGUCUGGUUUCCAAAUGAAAAAUGGAUGAAGCUGAAAGUAUUUUGGUGAUGGGAGCUCAUAGACAGAAUCAAUAAGCUCAGGCUGUGGUUCUUUGCUGCUGAGAGCACUUCCAUCGGCUCACGUCCUGCUCAGUGCUAGGGAGUGGUGGAGCAGAAGGCUUUUCCUGAGCUGAGGUGUACCCAGAAGAUGCCACAGGGAGCGUUGUGGGAGGAGCAGUCGCUGCAGGGGUUGCGGUUGGAGGAGCAGAGGAUUCGGGGGGUACAGUGAGGGGAGCAGAGGCUGCAUUAAGCCCUGAGGAAGACUGCAAAGAAGUCUCUGGGAUGACGGCUGCACAAUGACAUGGGUGAUAAUGUUCACAGUUGAGAAUUAUACAUAUUCAAAUAGCAGAUAAAAUUAAACAAUUUUAAUAAUUUUUAAAUUUGACCAAGUAUAUAAUAAUGCAGCACUAAGUCACUGGCAGAACACUAAUGGACUGGUCAAAGUGGGGAGAUUGGAUAAAGUUCCGUCCAAAACACUUCAAAGCACAAGGUCACAUUCCAGUAUGUUUCCCGGGACACUUUCACAUGCUUUAUACAUUGCAAGGAGGGCACAUUUCAUACAUGGGAACCACUUUACAUCCUUUAUUGGUUUUAAUAUUUAUUUUAUUAUUAGGGUUUAAAUUGAGUACAUCUGUGUCACCAACAUAUCUAGCUUUGCUUAUUUCCCUUUACUUUGUAAUUCUUGAGACAGUUGCAUCUGUGAAUGUACAUGUGAAUGUUUCUGUUUUGCUUUGUUUGUUUGUCUUGUCUGAUAUGUUUGACUAUUUCACACUGUCUUCUGCAUUUAAAUAAGUAUCAAUGAACAUAUAUAUUUAAAUUUAAUUUAAUCCCUAUUACAAUUUUUACAAAUAACACUGCUCUUGAAGUAGCAGGUAGUGUGUUACUUUUUUCUCUCCCCCGACCAAUGCUGCUUUUCAGCCUCAUAAAAGGGAGAUUUUUGAAACUCCCUCCAGGUCAUCUCUGCCUGCAUACCCUGUGCUUGGUUCAAAGAGAAGACUUUUGCAGGACAGUAAAUGUACUUUCCUGUGACACCAGUAAAGCCAGUGUGUAUAUGGGGGUUUGUUUGGGCUCUGCUUCAAUGGCAAGUGGCAGAAUGUACACAGACGACCACUGGGAUGCUCUUCCUGUGACUUCCUCUUUCCUCCAUUACUCUCUUUCUCAGCUGCCCUAUCUUUUGAGCUUUUUAGUUCUUGCUGGAAGAAGGGAGUAGCAGCAAAGUCCUGGAAGCUCAUCCUGGGACCAGUGAGACCCUUGGCUGCAUAGGUCUGGAAGACCUUCUGAGAGCAGUAGAAGUAUUUAACUUCUGCUGACUGAUAAAAAAAAAUUAAUGUGGGAGCCAUUGCCAAGGAAGCGGGAUUUUGGCUGGCCGCAUGCAAGACAGUUCCUUAUGGUCUUUUUCUGCCCUUGCUGCUGUAAUGCCUGCUGUUUUUUCACAAUUUCCUUCACUAUCCUCUCCACAUCAUCUUUAGUCAAAGGUGCUUCGUCUCCUGGAGUCUCUCCUCACUUGUAUUCAGUGUUGAGCUGGUGCUCUUCUUCUUGGCCAGGUGCUUAACAUACCUUGCGAUAUGCUGCUUUGUUGUAGGAUAAAGAAGGCUGUUUGGAUCGGUGCAGGCACUAUGCACCAUGGUGGCAUAAUCAGCAUCCACAAGCUUCAGCAUGUCUUUUUCUCCAUGAUACUUAACAAGGAGAGCAUCUAUGGCAUCUCUCAUUGGCUGUGUCCACCUGCUGUGAUCCGGGACAAAGACGCGACCACCUGUCUUAAUUGGGCCGAUGAGGGCAGCUUGCAGAGAUGCUGGCAAACUGAUAUUUAAAUGCACCUCUUUAAUUUCAGAAGAUGACAAUGCUGGUGUUGAAGGCAUGUACUGCUGGGAUUGCAGGAUCUGGCCUUCCAGUGAUGAAUGGACCUCUGCAGUGAUUUCUAAUUGCCUUUGGUCUCCUGAAGAAAAAAAAAACAUUCAAGUCAGUUAAGUUGCCAGCGAUUGGAGUUAAAGAAAGUGAAAGAGUUAUGGAAGUUAUUACCUGUGCAGUGUCCUCCAUCAUGGGCUUUUCUGAAGAAACAUGAUAGUGGAACAUCUUCAGGGCUGAGGGCUGCGAGACUGAAGGAGAGUGUCCCUCGAAUUCUACAGCUUUUGGGGUCUGUACUGUUCUUUGGGUCUUGUGCUUCUCCCAGUUGACGGGGGCUGGACGGCAGCCUGGCUUUACAUACUGAAGCCCAAACCUCUCCCCGGUAUCUCGGCUGGAUGUCUGAAGGACUGGAUAUUUGGCCUCUCCAGUCACCUUCACAGAAGCCUUGUUCAAUUCCACUAUUAACAGGGGGUUGAACACUAAUGGUAAGGCCACAUCUGGUAACUUCAGGUCAACCAGCCUCUGAAAGUUCCAGCGCACCACUCCGGUCAUGCCUUGUGUCUCUCCUGAGUUGUUCCAGGCACGUAUACCUGUCACCCAUUGAGCCUGAUGGAAAUGGAAGCCUUCCUGCUGGGAGGUACCCUUCACUGGAAUCCAGACAGGUACAGCUGCUCCUUCACCUGGAACGUGGUUGAGCUGCAAAGUUCAUAUAAAAUACCCUCCUCCACCUGAGGAUCACUCAAGCAGCUUCUCAGGAUAUGGAUGCGCUGGAUUCUCCAUGUCUUUAACAUGGAAGGCUUGAGAAGACGCAGACCGUUGGGAUCUGGGGCCAAGUGGAAGUGGUGCAGGACAUCUUCCAUUCUCUUCAACAGCUCCAAAGGUUGUAGGAUUUUUAUCCUACAAUGUUCCCUGAUGUGUUUUGUUGGGUUAGUUGGAGAAGUUCCACAGAAUCUGUAUGUUUCUCUCAACUUCUCCAGGUCACCUUGAUCAACCACAGAGAAAGCCGCAGAGAGAAACUGGCUGAAUGUGCUGUAUAGUGAAUGAAGCUCUGAAACACAUUGACAUAGAAAUCGCCUCAUGCAGUGGAACAAAUCAAGUUUACCGACGAUGUCGUUGUUAUACUGGCUGCGUGAAGCACACGUGUUGGUCACGUUCCCAGAAGUCGCCUCUUCCACCAUAUCCUCUGUGGUCUUCCAUGAAACCCACUGCAAAUGUCCAUGUGGAGCAGGACCAAGGACUUUAAAGGCAACACAUCCCUAUGAAGAUAUUACAAGAUUAUUUCAGUGAAAAUUAAAUUAGGAUGAACAGACUUUAGCAAAUCAAAUACAAUUUAACUGAGCAAAUCUAGAAACAGAGAAAGGGUGCUAUAUCUACUGAAAGCAUACAAAACAUAUCUUUUAAUACCUAGUAUAUGAAUCCUGAAGAGUGACUGUUUGUUUGUGUGUGUGCUCAGGAUUCUCACUCAUCGGGCUUUUGGUUUUGGAAGGGGACCAACCAAGCAUCAUCCUCUCCAAUUCCUCAUCUUCCUCUAUUUCUAUAAAACAAAACAGAUAUGAAUAAAAGGCAUAAUGAACACACAAAACCCCAUAUAUGAAUCUGUCAGCCAACCUGGAGGAUUAGUAGAAGUGUCUGGAAGUGCUGGUCGUUUAGGGAGCAGAUGCAUCCAGUGACAUCUGAAGAUUGCUGUGUUUCAGCCUCAGGUACUGCUGUAGUCGGUACACUUUGCUGCCUGGUACACAUUGCUGUCUGAGGAUAAAUGCUGCAUACCCAUCAUCCCUGCUGUCCCAAAUAUCCUUCCAGGUCUUGCCAGCACGGACUCCAAACCCAACCAAAUUCUCAUCCUCACUUUUGACAGGUGGUGUAUGAGGUCCCCUAUUUCUUGAAAUUGAAAACGAAUGGGAAAAGUUAAGGGAAGUUAAGGGAGUGAGUGUCUAUUCUUGUGCUUAACUUUUGUGUUUGAGAAUGUUUACCAUCCUCUUCUUUCUGUUCUUGAGUAUUGGAACUGGUCUUCGGCAAUGGAAGAUGACAUAAAACGGCUACGCGAGAAUACAAGUACGGUCAAAUGUGCAUAUUGAGAAACACUAGUGCAGUAUCAAAUUCCACCAUUUUUGUUGAGGUGAACAGAGAACAAUGUACCAAGCCUCAUGACAACCUGUAAGCAGCUCACUUCCUGAGGUGGCUAAGGCGAAAUUUUGUCUUAAACUUUGUCUUGUGUCUGAAAGUGUCAAAUCGAUAUCCUUGUUCCUGUACUUGUAUCUAUUGAUAUUAAAAGAGCUUUUUUCAACA